GCCUACUGUUUAAUUUUGAGGGUUCGUUUUUACGAAUACUCAAAAUUAGCACUUUUAGCAACAGAAUAAACUGAACGCAUGUGAAGUUUGUUUGUUGGCGACGUGCUUUAGCACUUUGAAAACUGCAUAUAUAUUUAGUGAUAUGACAUCUAAUUUGUAGUAUAUAAAGCUGAUAACUUUUUAAAAUUAUCGAAGUUGAUAGCUUCUAAUCUAUCAAACCUUUUUAACUGGUCAAGUUAUUAAGGGUGCAGGGCGGAUGCCUGAUUUAUCCGUUGGCGCCGUGCUUUAGCACUUUGAAAACUGCAUAUAUAUUUAGUGAUAUGACAUCUAAUUUGUAAUAUAUAAAGCUGAUAACUUUUUAAAAUUAUCGAAGUUGAUAGCUUCUAAUCUAUCAAACCUUUUUAACUGGUCAA
rnacentral:misc_RNA from 1 species